rnacentral:rRNA from 1 species
UGACCUCGGAUCAGGUAGGAAUACCCGCUGAACUUAAGCAAAU